rnacentral:antisense_RNA from 1 species
GGUGUUUGUAACAGCAGUUUACUGCGUUCAGGAAUGUCUCCGCCGAUAUGAUAGGGCAGGCCGCAGUUGGCAAAAGAAAUAAAAGGGCCACGCUCAAACAUGAUGAUUUGUGCAUCUUCGCUUAAACGUCUUGCACGGGCAGCAGCGGAUGCGCCGCCUGCAACUCCCC